rnacentral:rRNA from 1 species
UACGAAGGGGGCUAGCGUUGCUCGGAAUGACUGGGCGUAAAGGGCGCGUAGGCGGAUGGCACAGUCAGAUGUGAAAUUCCCGGGCUUAACCUGGGGGCUGCAUUUGAUACGUGUUGUCUAGAGUGAGGAAGAGGGUUGUGGAAUUCCCAGUGUAGAGGUGAAAUUCGUAGAUAUUGGGAAGAACACCGGUGGCGAAGGCGGCAACCUGGUCCUUGACUGACGCUGAGGCGCGAAAGCGUGGGGAGCAAACAGG